CUUCAGCUUGUACCAGCGUCUGCUCUGUCAGUGCUGGGCCAAGGCCCGAGCGCUGUCCCUGCCUCGCGUGGGCCCUGUCCCCCUCUUGCGAUACAGCUUUGGGGGCACUCCUGUGACCCCAACACUGCGGGCGUGAGGCUAGUGAGCGUAGGUAACUCGGCCCUUUAACUGAAGAUUUCUCCUGCUUAUAUUUAAAUUGCAGAUGGAUUAUGCAGCAGAGUUGAAGGAAGUGGGAAAGCGAAAUGAGACAACUGCGCUUCGGGAUAUGGAACCAGUUUCUGUGGAAUUUCUUGGCUGUACGUACCCGAAUUGUCCUCGGCAGCUCUGUAUUAACAGGGGAGAAGCCACAGCAUUUACCUGACAGAUCAGAAUGGUGUCUUUUAGCUGGGUGCUUCUCACGUGGCUCUCCCAUCAAGAAGGAGACAUCUUAGUCAGGAGAACUGCUGCCCAGAGGGGCCUUGAACAUGACUGAUGAUGCUGAGAAAAGUUUCUGAAAACCUCCCUGACCAAAUGAUGGGGA
rnacentral:lncRNA from 1 species